UUACUUGAACAGGUGCCAACAGAUAUUUUUACUUGUGCUUGAAUGACUUGAUUGCACUUGGAGGGGGUGCAAACUUUGCUUUAUGCCUGAAUGAAGAUCUGUUAUCUGGAUCCAGUGGUCCGUGCGAAACAUUUGGGAACUUGUGUUUGGCUCAUGAUCAAGAGUUUGAAAUAAAGAAUGUUGAGCUGUGGGGUUUUUCACAUGUUUCUCAAUACCUUAAUUGAAGCAGCAAGAAUUCGGAUUAUGUUUUGUCCAUCCUUACAGAUUAUCCAAACUUUUGACAGUCCUUUUGGUGUUUAGUGAAAAAUGUUAAAAGUAGCCUCUCCCUUUCGAGGAUGAUUUGUUCUGUACAAGUUUAUAUUUUUGCUAUGGUAGGGAACCAUUAUUCCUUUUACCGUAUUUUUUUAUUCAAGAUAUGUUCAUUUGCAUGAAAGAAA